rnacentral:other from 1 species
AAUAUCCUGCGAUGCACGUGAAGAAGCAAAUAUUUUGGUCCAACACUCUAGAAUUAGGGAGCCGGAGUUUCGUGUCGUGUGCACGCCUUUCCGGAGGAAGCCUUAAGCGCUAAACAAGGCACCCACCUGAUAACAGGGCCCAAAAUGCUGCUUCUCACGGCACCUGCGGGUAUUAU